UACGUAGGUGACAAGCGUUGUCCGGAUUUACUGGGCGUAAAGAGCGCGCAGGCGGUCGAUCAAGUCGAGUGUGAAAGCCCCCGGCUCAACUGGGGAGGGUCAUUCGAUACUGAUCGACUCGAAGGCAGGAGAGGGUAGUGGAAUUCCCGGUGUAGCGGUGAAAUGCGCAGAUAUCGGGAGGAACACCAAUUGCGAAGGCAGCUCGCUGGGACGUCACUGACGCUGAGACGCGAAAGCGUGGGGAGCAAACAGG
rnacentral:rRNA from 1 species